AUUUAAAUAGCUUAAAAAGAGUUUAAUAUUGAAGAUAUUAAGGUAAUAAUUAAUUAUUUUUAAAUA
rnacentral:tRNA from 1 species